AGGAGUGGGCUGGGCUGGAGGAGACUGGUGCGAGGAGUGGGCUGGGCUGGAGGAGACUGGUGCGAGGAGUGGGCUGGGCUGGAGGAGACUGGGGCGAGGAGUGGGCUGGGCUGGAGGAGACUGGGGCGAGGAGUGGGCUGGGCUGGAGGAGACUGGGGCGAGGAGUGGGCUGGGCUGGAGGAGACUGGGGCGAGGAGUGGGCUGGGCUGGAGGAGACUGGGGCGAGGAGUGGGCUGGGCUGGAGGAGACUGGGGCGAGGAGUGGGCUGGGCUGGAGGAGACUGGGGCGAGGAGUGGGCUGGGCUGGAGGAGACUGGGGCGAGGAGUGGGCUGGGCUGGAGGAGACUGGGGCGAGGAGUGGGCUGGGCUGGAGGAGACCAGUAGAAGUGAGUUGGGCUGGAGGAGACUGGUAGAAGUGGAUUGGACUGGAAGAGACUCGUAGAAGAGGGCUGGACCGGAAUAGAUUGCUAGAAGUGAGUCUGGCUUUAGGAAGUGGUAGAGACUGGGUGGAGACGCGUCUGGGCUGGACGUGGAGGCCGUGUUGUGCUGGCCUCCUCCCGAUUGAAUUUUUCGCCAGUCAUGGCAUUCAGGAGUUUUUUCACUUUUUUGUUUUAGUUUACUUUUUCCGUCUUGAUUAUGGGUGAUGGGGCACUCUGCCAAGUGCCUAACAAUCACCCACUUUUUAGAGGCUGCAACCGAGGGUUCUUUUUAGGAUGGUAGUGGUUCCCUUAAGGGCAAUUGUUUGGAUUUCUGUUGCCCUCGGGUUUCCUGGGAUUUUAGCUAGAUGGUCUUUGAAGUUCUUUUUCAGUAGGCCUGUUGCUCCGGCAAUGACUGGCACAAUCGAGAUGUUCUUCAAUUUCCAGUUUCUUUUCAUAUCAUGCAUCAGGCCUUGAUAUUUGGUGACCUUCUCCCUUUCAGCUCUGUUUAGCCCGCAGUCAUGUGGGAUACUGACCUCAACU